AUGGGCGGCGGAGGCGCGCACGGCGGCACGACGUACAAGGGCUACACCAUCCCCCACAACAAGCGCUGGCACACCAUCGCCGGCAAGGGCCUCUGCGCCACCAUGUGGUUUUGGAUUUUCUACAGGGCUAAGCAGGACGGCGCUGUGCUCUUGGGUAUGCGUCAUCCUUGGGAUGGCCAUGAUGAUCACGCGCAUGGUCAUGGACAUGCACACGAGCAUGAGGCUUCAUCGUCGUCAUCGCCGUCCCAUUGA
rnacentral:rRNA from 1 species